rnacentral:rRNA from 1 species
AGAGUUUGAUCAUGGCUCAGGACUAACGCUGGUGGUGUGUCUAAGCCAUGCUAGUCGAGCGAAGCACAGAAGUUUUUAUAAACAUCUGUGUUCAGCGGCGGAUAGGUGAGUAACGCGUGAGUAACCUGCCCUUAGGUUUGGUAUAGCCUUGAGAAAUUAAGGAUAAUACCUCAUAUCGCCUUUAGACGUAAAGUCUUCAGGUGAAAGAUGGCCUCUCUUUGAAGCUAUCGCCUCUGGAGGGGCUCGCGUCCCAUUAGUUAGUUGGUGAGGUAAAGGCUCACCAAGACAACGAUAGGUAGCCGGCUUGAGAGGGUGACCGGUCACGCUGGGACUGAGACAAGGCCCAGGCUCCUACGGGAGGCAGCAGGCUAGAAAUUUGUCCAAUGGAUGAAAGUCUGAGACAGCGACACCACUUGGGGGAUCCGAAGGCCUUCGGGUUGUAAACCCCUGUCAAAGAGGACGAUGCUCUGAUAAUUUAAUAAAUUUUUCAGAGUGACGGUACUCUUAAUAGGAAGCCACGGCUAAUUCCGUGCCAGCAGCCGCGGUAAAACGGAAGUGGCAAGCGUUGUCCGGAAUCACUGGGCGUAAAGGGGGCGUAGGCGGAUAACCAAGUUGAAUGUGAAAACCAUUUGCUCAACGAAUGGCUUGCAUUCAAAACUGAUUAUCUUGAGUCUGGCAGAGGAGAAUGGAACUUCUGGUGUAGCGGUGGAAUGCGUAGAUAUCAGAAGGAAUACCGACGGCGAAGGCAGUUCUCUGGGCUAAGACUGACGCUGAGGCCCGAAAGCCAGGGUAGCGAACGGGAUUAGAUACCCCGGUAGUCCUGG